rnacentral:rRNA from 1 species
UACGUAGGGGGCUAGCGUUGUCCGGAAUCAUUGGGCGUAAAGAGCGUGUAGGCGGUCCGGUAAGUCCGCUGUGAAAGUCGGGGGCUCAACCCUCGAAUGCCGGUGGAUACUGUCGGGCUAGAGUGCGGAAGAGGCGAGUGGAAUUCCUGGUGUAGCGGUGAAAUGCGCAGAUAUCAGGAGGAACACCGGUGGCGAAGGCGGAUCUCUGGGCCGACACUGACGCUCAGGCACGAAAGCGUGGGGAGCAAACAGG